UGUGUGUGUGUGUGUGUGUAAAUAUAUUUAUUGUUCAAAAGUUUUGCAAUAUUUUGGUAACUCAUUUGCCUUUUUCAUCAAGUUACAACAAAAGCAGCCCAGCAUUCAAAGGAGAGGCCAUUGUGUUGCACCAUCUGGAACCACCUCCCUGCCAGUUCUU